GUCUACGGCCAUACCACCCUGAACGCGCCCGAUCUCGUCUGAUCUCGGAAGCUAAGCAGGGUCGGGCCUGGUUAGUACUUGGAUGGGAAGAUUCCCUCUCUCCCUCUCCC
rnacentral:rRNA from 1 species